rnacentral:rRNA from 1 species
AGAGACCUCAAGCGUUAUCCGGAAUCAUUGGGCGUAAAGCGUGCCGAUAGGUGGUUUUGAAAGUUUUGGGUAAAAGCCAGAAGCUCAACUUCUGAGUUUGCUCAAAAUACUGCAAGACUAGAGGGGCAAAGAGGUGCUUGGAACGAAUGGUGUAGUAGUGAAAUGCGUUGAUAUCAUUCGGAACACCGAAAGCGAAGGCAGAGCACUGGGUGCCACCUGACACUGCUAGGACGAAAGCGUGGGUAGCGAAUGGGAUUAGAUACCCCAGUAGUCCACGCUGUAAACGAUGAAUACUAGGCAUGCGCGAGUAUCGACCCUCGUGCGAGCCGUAGCUAACGCGUUAAGUAUUCCGCCUGGGGAGUACGGUCGCAAGACUA